AGCUCAGUUGGUUAGAGCGACGGAUUGUGGUUCCGUAGGUCGUGGGUUCGAGACCCAUC
rnacentral:tRNA from 1 species